ensembl:snRNA U6 U6 spliceosomal RNA
ACUCAAUGGACAUCAGUUUGAGUAUGUAUUGGAACAAUACAGUGUAGAUUAGUAUGGCCCCUGCACAAGGCAGACACACAAAUUAGUGAAGUGACCCAUAUUUUA